ensembl:lncRNA
CUCUUUACCUCACACUUAACAUGAACCAUCACAGUUCACAUUGUCAGGUCACCAUUCACACUCACAUUCACACGUACAUACAUACAAUUAUAUAUACAAUGAUAAAUGCAUUCUCUUUACCUCACACUUAACACGAACCAUCACAGUUCACAUUGUCAGGUCAUCAUUCAUCAUUUGGUGUAAGUAUUUUUACCUGAUUAGAAGGGACGAGGCGUGAAGCAUUGGAAAUCAUUCAAACAGUUUGACUGGCUGUAAUUUAAGUCUGAACUGCAGCUGUUAGGGAACAAUUGUCCAUGAAGCAGCGAUGUCGCGAUGCUGAUAGCUAUAUUACAUCCUACGUACACCACACCUUUAGCAAGGCCAGACCACCAACUUCUGGCCUGAAUCGGUGUCUCCUGCGUCUCAUCCAUAGGUGUCUCCUCUGUCUGAUUCUCAGGGGUCUCGUCUGUUUGAACCUCAUGUGUCUCCUGUCUCAUCUCCUCUGUCUGAACCUCAUGUGUCUCCUGUCUCAUCUCCUCAGAUGUCUCCACCUUCUCAUCUUCAGGUGUCUCCUCUGUCUGAUCCGUCACUGGGAGGCUCUCGUCACUGUGAUUCUCAGAUGAUUCUGUGUUUUGAGCAUAAAUUCUGAAUUCCUCUCUUAAAUUGUUGUUGCCAACUACCUGCAUCUCCUGCGGUCUGAAUUGUUGGAUCUCUGACAGAUAUCGGUCAUUGGUCUGUUUAAGUAGUUGCAUUUCUUCAUCUUUCUCCGAGAUUGUUCUGUAACAUGUUUCAACUUUCUUCUGAAGGUCAUCAAGAUGUUCAGUGACUUUGGUGUGUUCCCUCUCAGCGAUCAGGCUCUGGUUCUUCAUAGUUCGGUUUUCCUCAACUAGCUCUUUAACAUCUGCCUCCAGAUUAGAAAUCUUUGCCUGAUUUAGAACUUUCUCAGAUCUCACGCAGGCCAGUUUAUCACCAAGAACCUUAUUUUUAUUGAUCAAAGCGUCCUCUCUUUUCUCGCAUUCCAGAACAAAAUCCGAAUGAUAUUUGGUCUUUCUGUCUAGUUUCUCAUUCAAGUCUUUAAGUUGGGCCAAAUUCUCAUGAUUUCUUUGGUGAGCUUCCUCUUCACUCUGCUUAUGGGCAGCAUUAAUUCUCCAGAGCUCUUCAAAGUCUGUUUCAAUUUUAGCGUUCUGUCGAUGAAGAUCAUCAUUCAUAUUUGAUUUCUCUGCAAGUUUCCUCUCUGCUUCUUUUAGAUGUUCUUUUGAAAUGUCUUCAUUCUCCCUGAGUGAAGAUAUUUCCGAUUGCAGAUGAUCAAUUUCCCUCUGGCUCACAACAAACAAUUCACUUUGUGUCUCCGACUUGAUUUUAAGUUGUGAUAUCUUACCCGUUGCUUCAUUAUUUGUUGUAGAAAGAUGCUCAGUGGCUUUGGUGUGUUCCCUCUCAGCGAUCAGGCUCUGGUUCUUCAUAGUUCGGUUUUCCUCAACUAGCGCUUCAACAACUACCUCCAGAUUAGAAAUCUUUGCCUGAUCUAGAUCAUUCUCAGAUGUCACGCAGGUCAGUUUAUCACCAAGAACCUUAUUUUCAUUGAUCAAAGCGUCCUCUCUUUUCUCGGAUUGUAGAGCAAAAGCCGAAUGAUAUUUGGUCUUUCUGUCUAGUUUCUCAUUCAAGUCUUUAAGUUGGGCCAAAUUCUCGUCAUUUCUUUGGUGAGCUUCCUCUUCACUCUGCUUAAGGGCAGCGCUAAUUCUAGAGAGCUCUUCAAAGUCUGUUUCAAUUUUAGCGUUCUGUCGAUGAAGAUCAUCAUUCAUAUUCGAUUUCUCUGCAAGUUUCCUCUCUGCUUCUUUUAGAUGUUCUUUUGAAAUAUCAUCAUUCAUAUUCGAUUUCUCUGCAAGUUUCCUCUCUGCUUCUUUUAGAUGUUCUUUUGAAAUGUCUUCAUUCUCCAUGAGUGAAGAUAUUUCCGAAUGCAGAUAAUCCAUCUUCCUCUGGCUCACAACAAUCACUUCCCUUUGUGCCUCCGACUUGAUUUUAAGUUGUAAUAUCGUACCCUUUGCUUCAUUGAGUUUCCUUUGGGUGUAACGGGCUUCGGUUUGAGAUAUCCGCUUUUCUUUUGGUACAACAAACGGCUCAGUUAACUUCCAUGGAAGCGUCCUUCCACCGCCCUGUGAUUCUGCCAUGUCGCUUGGAAGUCUCCACACACGUCCGCUCUCUUGC